ensembl:lncRNA
AGGGAGUAGUGAAUAGUGAGUAGGGAGCAGUGAGUAGUGAAUAGGGAGUAGGGAGUAGUGAAUAGGGAGUAGUGAGUAGUGAAUAGUGAGUAGUGGAUAGUGAGUAGUGAGUAGUGAGUAGGGAGUAGUGAGUAGGGAAUAGUGAGUAGGGAGUAGUGAGUAGGGAGUAGUGAGUAGGGAGUAGUGAGUAGGAUAGUGAGUAGUGAGUAGUGAAUAGAGAGUAGUGAGUAGGGAGUAGUGAAUAGAGAUUAGUGAGUAGGGAGUAGUGAAUAGUGAGUUGUGAAUAGGGAGUAGUGAAUAGUGAGUUGUGAAUAGGGAGUGGUGAGCAGUGAGUGAUUUAGGACACUGUGUGAGAUUGAUUGUGUCAGUGGUUUACAGUAACUGUGCUGCGAGCCGGAAACACACUUCACUCAGUGCUAAAUAUAC